ACUCCUACGGGAGGCAGCAGUGGGGAAUAUUGCACAAUGGGCGCAAGCCUGAUGCAGCCAUGCCGCGUGUGUGAAGAAGGCCUUCGGGUUGUAAAGCACUUUCAGUCGUGAGGAAGGUAGUGUAGUUAAUAGCUGCAUUAUUUGACGUUAGCGACAGAAGAAGCACCGGCUAACUCCGUGCCAGCAGCCGCGGUAAUACGGAGGGUGCGAGCGUUAAUCGGAAUUACUGGGCGUAAAGCGCAUGCAGGCGGCCUGUUAAGUCAGAUGUGAAAGCCCGGGGCUUAACCUCGGAAUUGCAUUUGAAACUGGCAGGCUAGAGUCUUGUAGAGGGGGGUAGAAUUUCAGGUGUAGCGGUGAAAUGCGUAGAGAUCUGAAGGAAUACCAGUGGCGAAGGCGGCCCCCUGGACAAAGACUGACGCUCAGAUGCGAAAGCGUGGGGAGCAAACAGGAUUAGAUACCCUGGUAGGAUAGCG
rnacentral:rRNA from 1 species